rnacentral:rRNA from 1 species
GCCAUGCCGCGUGCAGGAAGAAUGCCCUACGGGUUGUAAACUGCUUUUAUAUAGGAAUAAACCCCUCUACGUGUAGAGGGCUGAAGGUACUAUACGAAUAAGGAUCGGCUAACUCCGUGCCAGCAGCCGCGGUAAUACGGAGGAUCCAAGCGUUAUCCGGAUUUAUUGGGUUUAAAGGGUGCGUAGGCGGGGCAAUAAGUCAGUGGUGAAAUCUUCCAGCUUAACUGGGAAACUGCCAUUGAUACUGUUGUUCUUGAGUUUGGUUGAAGUAGGCGGAAUGAGGCAUGUAGCGGUGAAAUGCAUAGAUAUGCCUCAGAACACCGAUUGCGAAGGCAGCUUACUAAGCCAAUACUGACGCUGAGGCACGAAAGCGUGGGUAGCGAACAGGAUUAGAUACCCUGGUAGUCCACGCUGUAAACGAUGAUUACUCGCUGUUGGCGAUACAAUGUCAGCGGCUAAGCGAAAGUGAUAAGUAAUCCACCUGGGGAGUACGUUCGCAAGAAUGAAACUCAAAGGAAUUGACGGGGGCCCGCACAAGCGGUGGAGCAUGUGGUUCAAUUCGAUGAUACGCGAGGAACCUUACCAGGGCUUAAAUGUAGAACGACCGAUUUGGAAACAAGUCUUCUCUUUGAGCGGUCUACAAGGUGCUGCAUGGUUGUCGUCAGCUCGUGCCGUGAGGUGUCGGGUUAAGUCCCUUAACGAGCGCAACCCCUAUCUCUAGUUGCCAGCGGAUAAUGCCGGGGACUCUAGAGAAACUGCCCGUGCAAACGGUGAGGAAGGUGGGGAUGACGUCAAAUCAUCACGGCCCUUACGUCCUGGGCUACACACGUGCUACAAUGGUCGGUACAGAGGGCAGCUACCACGUGAGUGGAUGCAAAUCUCGAAAGCCGAUCUCAGUUCGGAUUGAAGUCUGCAACUCGACUUCAUGAAGCUGGAAUCGCUAGUAAUCGCGCAUCAGCCAUGGCGCGGUGAAUACGUUCCCGGGCCUUGUACACACCGCCCGUCAAGCCAUGGAAGCUGGGGGUGCCUGAAGUCGGUUGCCGCAAGGCGCUGCCUAGGGUAAAACUGGUAACUGGGGCUAAGUCGUAACAAGGUAGCCGUACCGGAAGGUGCGGCUGGAAUACCUCCUUUCU